rnacentral:tRNA from 1 species
GUUUAAGUAGUUUAAUAAAAACUUUAAUUUGUGGAAUUAAUAAUAUGUCUUUCAUCUUAGACA